rnacentral:rRNA from 1 species
UACAGAGGGGGCAAGCGUUGUUCGGAAUUACUGGCGUAAAGGGCGCGUAGGCGGCCCUCUAAGUCGAACGUGAAAUCCCCGGGCUCAACCCGGGAACUGCGUCCGAUACUGGAAGGCUUGAAUCCGGGAGAGGGAUGUGGAAUUCCAGGUGUAGCGGUGAAAUGCGUAGAGUAUCUGGAGGAACACCGGUGGCGAAGGCGACAUCC